AGCUUUGCACAGUGGCAGUAUCAUAACCAAUGAAGUUAAUCUGAGGUGUGAUUAUUGCUACUUAAAUCUGCUCCUUUCCUGGUGGUAGAUGGUUACAGUACUACUGGAAACAGUAGAAACUG
rnacentral:snRNA from 1 species